rnacentral:rRNA from 1 species
AUGCAAAAGAAGAAAGAUACGGAUAACAAUAUUUUCAAAUUGAAGUUAUUUCCGUUUUCUCUUAGAGAUCGUGCUAAAGUUUGGUUUUCAUCUUUGCCUAAAAAUAGUAUUGAUUCUUGGAACAAGUGCAAAGAUGCUUUUAUCUCUAAGUAUUUUCCUCCCGCUAAGAUUAUCACUCUUAGGAACGAUAUCAUGAAUUUUAAACAGCUUGAUCAUGAGCAUGUUGCCCAAUCUUGGGAAAGAAUGAAAUUGAUGCUUCGCAAUUUCCCUACUCAUGGUUUGAAUUUAUGGAUGAUCAUACAAAAAUUUUAUGCCGGUUUGAACUUUGCUUCUAGAAAUCUCUUAGAUUCGGCCGCGGGAGGCACUUUUAUGGAAAUCACAUUAGGAGAUGCUACAAAACUUCUUGAUAAUAUUAUGGCUAAUUAUUCUCAAUGGCACACCGGAAGAUCUUCUAGUAAAAAAGUGCAUGCUAUAGAAGAAAUCAAUGUUUUGAGUGGAAAGAUGGAUGAACUUAUGAAGAUGUUUGCUACUAGAAAUACUCCUGUUGAUCCCAAUGAUAUGCCUUUGUCUUCUUUGAUUGAGAAUAAUAAUGAAUCUAUGGAUGUGAAUUUUUUUGGUAGGAAUAGUUUUGGAAACAAUGCUUAUAGAGGAAACUUUAAUGCUAGACCGUUCCCUAGUAAUUCCUCUAAUAAUUAUUGA